CCUACGGGUGGCAGCAGUGGGGAAUAUUGGACAAUGGGGGGAACCCUGAUCCAGCCAUGCCGCGUGUGUGAAGAAGGCCCUCGGGUUGUAAAGCACUUUCAGUGAGGAAGAACGCCUGGUGGUUAAUACCCAUCAGGAAAGACAUCACUCACAGAAGAAGCACCGGCUAACUCCGUGCCAGCAGCCGCGGUAAUACGGAGGUUGCGAGCGUUAAUCGGAAUUACUGGGCGUAAAGCGCGCGUAGGUGGCUUGAUAAGCCGGUUGUGAAAGCCCCGGGCUCAACCUGGGAACGGCAUCCGGAACUGUCAAGCUAGAGUGCAGGAGAGGAAGGUAGAAUUCCCGGUGUAGCGGUGAAAUGCGUAGAGAUCGGGAGGAAUACCAGUGGCGAAGGCGGCCUUCUGGACUGACACUGACACUGAGGUGCGAAAGCGUGGGUAGCAAACAGGAUUAGAUACCCCUGUAGUC
rnacentral:rRNA from 1 species